rnacentral:rRNA from 1 species
CUAGUAAUGGCAGGUCAGCAUACUGCCGUGAAUACGUUCCCGGGUCUUGUACACACCGCCCGUCACACCAUGGGAGUCGGAAAUGCCCGAAGUCUGUGACCCAACCUCAGGGAGGGAGCAGCCGAAGGCAGGUCGGAUGACUGGGGUGAAGUCGUAACAAGGUAAC